CAUAGAACCAUAAAAGACUACAUUUGUGUUUUACGAUUUCAUGAUGUGAUAUUUCAGUGGUAACAGUAAGAUGUAGUUUAUAGACAAAGUAUUUUAUAUAUAAGAUUAUUUGAAUUGUGAAGAAAUAAUCCCUUUGUUGAAAAAAGUUGAGGUCUCACGCCUGUGAAUACUUUGUAAACCAUAAAAAAACAUAACAUCCAAAGUUGAUCUGACAGUUGAAGAUCAAGUGUACAUAUCAAACUGAAAAACAGACACAGCAUCUGAUUUUUCAUUCUGGCAAGACAUCGCUCAUAUUUCAGUUUAUGUCUCUUCUAAUUGAUUCAGCAGGCCUGACAUUGAACUGCACAUAAUAGAACCAGUUUGAUGAGGUGCAACCUAUCCUAAGGUUACCAGGUAACUUAAAAAAAAUUAAACAUAUGUUUCUAAGUCUAGGGCUUCAAAAUUGGACACAGUUAUUUGCAAAUAAAAUUUUUAAUUAAAUAAGUUUAAUUGCUGUGCUAUUUUAAGAGUUAUUCUGCUGAAAAGGGUGUUCUUAGAAUAAAUAGCAUACUAGAGACAGAAUCAAAGUACUUUCAUAUUAGGAAAUAUUGUGUUAUCAUAGUGCAGCAGAUUUUUGCAUUUCAUUAAUGAAACAAAAAUUUGUUUGCUUUAAAAUAGGGAGAUACACUAGAUAAUUGUGUAAUUUCCUUACUAGCUUUAAAAGUCUGUAAAUAAAUAAUAAAGGUCUCUAUCACUAAAAAAUAAAACAGUAAAGCCAAAUGGAGAUUUUCUUCUUAUACUCUACUACUUGGAUCUUUGCACUGCCUUUUCCUUUCAGAUGAUGUUUUCCUUAAUAUAUUCUAACAGGAAUAAUCAAGCUUUUGUGAAGCAAGGAACUGAGUGAUGAGAUAAAUAAGGACAAAUCCAGAAAGUGACUAUACCCAGAUUAACCCCAGAUGAACCCAACUGAUUAGCCAAAUGGUAACUGAAAUUAGUUGAGGUGAUAAAGAUGGUCCUACUCUACAUAAACCUGUAAGUUUGGUUUGCUUGUUUACUUUGUUUUUGUGUUUGGUGGAUAAAUGGGCCUACUUGUUAUUUCUUGAAUUCUUCUUCUUUUUUUUUUUUAAUUUGUAGGUGGCAGAACAAAAAUGAAGGAAUUAACCAAUAUUUUUCUCCUAAUGAUUCCAGUGCAUAGUAUCACUGAAAGGUGGGUGUACUGUGGCUCACUUAGAGGGAAGAACCAUAUAGUUACUGUGUAGGGGUAAUUUUGCCAUGGAAAUAUAACAAUAGCAAACAGUUACUGGAUAUUUAUAUGUCAAGGGCUGGGUUAAAAGCUUCAUAUGAAGUAUCUUCUUUUAAUCUUCAUAAUCACACUAUAUGUUAGAUUCUAUUUUUUUUACAGACCUUUGUUUUUUUCUAUUUGAAUGCACCUCCAAGAAAUACCAAAGUCAGGAUAUUUUUGGAAACACAGAAAACAGCAACAUUUUCCUAAAAAUAGCUUACAUAGUCAUGUGACUACUCAACAUAGAGUAAUAGGCAUGGAUAGAGCCAGGUUUUGUGGAGCCUGAAGCUCAUGUAAUUUCAGGAGAUGCCUUUUUUUUUAGAAAGAAAAAAAAGAAAGAAAGAGAGAAAAAAUGAAAAAAAAAAAAGAAUGAAGGAGAGGAAGAGGAAGACGGAGAGAAAACGGGAGUGUUGCUUUAUUGCCCAGGCUAGAAUGCAGUCUAAAAAUGGGUAUUGAAAACCUCUUUUAUGCCAAUAAUUGUGCUUAGUAAUGCAGAGAGAAAAAAUAAGGGAAGAAAAUAACAAACAAGUAGCCAACCAAUAUUUUAUUUAAACCUGUGAGUAGGUGUGAUGUGGUACUGAUAAGAGUGUACAUUUUGUGUAUUUAAAGUGGAGAGUUCUAUAAAUGUUUAUUAAGUUUACUUGUUCCGGAUCUGAGUUCAAGUCCUGGAUAUUCUUGUUAAUUUUCUGUCUCGUUGAUCUAUCUAAUAUUGAUGUUGAAGUCUCCCACUAUUAUUGUGUGGGAGUCUAAGUCUCUUUAUAAGUCUUAUGUAUCUGGGUGUUCCUGUAUUGGGUGCGUAUGUAUUUAGGAUCGUUAGCUCUUCUAGUUGCAUUGAUCCUUUUAUCGUUAUGUAAUGACCUUCUUUGCCUCUUUUGAUCUUUGUUGCUUUAAAAUCUAUUUUAUCAGAGGUGAGAAUUGCAACUUCUGCUAUUUAUUUAUUUAUUUAUUUAUUUAUUUAUUUAUUUAUUUAUUUAUUUUUGCUUUCCAUUUGGUUGGUAAAUCUUCCUCCAUCCCUUUGUUUUGAGUCUUUGUGUAUCCUUGUAUGUGAGAUGGGUCUGGAUGCAACAUACUGAUGGGUUUUGGCUCUGUCUUUUGAUUGGGGAAUUUAGUCGAUUUAAAUUUUGGAUUAAUAAUAAUACAUGUGAAUUUAUUACUGCUAUUUGAUGUACCAGGUAUUAUUGUAUCAGGUUUUAUUGUCCCAUUAAUACCUGGUACAGAAUAAACAUGGAGGAUUAUUCUUAAUUUAUCAGACUCACUCCCAAGUGUAAGAAUGCUUUUAGAAUGCAGGACUGUCAUAUUAAUAGGUACACGUGUAAAUCUCAUAUGAGAAAAAUUUUACCUAACUUCAUACUGAAAAAACUGUGUAAUAUUUCAUAGUGACUGUGAUGUAACAUAAAUAAAAUACGUUAUGAUUCUAAUAAAGGUUUUGAUUCAUGGCACAAUAUUUUCUAAAUACCAAGGCGAUUUAUUAUUUGAACACUGUGGGUUCUUCGUGUAAUUGUAUACUCUACUUCAGUUCUUAGACAUACAGCAUAUGCUUUAGCAACGGAAAGAAGCUAUGUUUUGCCUUUGAACUUCAGACCUGUUAAAUGCGGGAAAAGAAGUAGUUUGAAUAUUUGGAAUAUACAUCACAAUACUGCAAUAUUUUGAAAUCUGAAUUUCAUAAUCAAGUUUUUCUUAUAGUUUUGUUUGAUCAUUGAUGAUGUAUUGUCAUUCUUUGGGACAUGUUGGCAAAGGUGCAGUCUUCUUGAUGUAGAUGUCCUUAGAAGUUUACAAUUUAUAAUACAUUGGGACUUUGUAUGGAACAACAACAGAGACUUCAGAUAAAGUUGCUACUUCCUAAGAAUCCAAAAGAGAGAAUAACAGAUGCAUUCCUAAGUAUACUUCUCUAUACAAAGAAAAGAAAUGAAAAAUAUUAAGAGGUCAGGUUGUAUAAAGAUAAGUUAGAAGUUGAAAAGAGAUGGAGUCAAUCUGAAAAAGCUUCAGAAAAUAGGUAGACCUGAAACAAACAUUUAGACAUAAGGUAUAAUAUGCUUUCCUGGAAAUUGUUCCAGAAGUAGCACUGGGAUUUAAAGGUCACUUUGAAGCAAGGAAAGCAUAUUGCUAGAGAGGGUAUAAAGCAGAGGUCAGUGAGAAAUCAGAUUGAGGGAGCAGAACUGUAUAGGAAGAGAAUUAGACAUUAAAGAGAUAUGUGUGUACAUGACUUCUAAUUGCAUACUAUUUAUACUAUAUGAAACACAGAAUUGUAGAAAAGAGCAUGACCCUCGAAGCUCAGCUUUAUGAUUUUAAAGUUCUCUCUAACUUUAAAACGUGGAAAAUAAUUCUACUUGCCCAAUGUUUAGCACUUAUUAAAUCCAUAUUUUGUGUCAGGAACCAAGCACUUUACGUAUAUAAAUUCAUUAGCCCUCAGGAUAACCCAUUGGAGUAAGUUUUAACGCUUUUGUUAUGAGGAUUAAAUGGGCAAAUAAAUGCCAAGAGUUUAAGUGAACUCCACAAGUUAGUAAUUAGGAAGAUCGUGAUGAAAUGCUCUUCAAAUGAAAAUAAACUAAGUUUAAUCAAGAUGUAGGUAUACCAUUGUUGGUAGUGGUAUCACCAAUGUCAAGAGAGUAAACGAACCGCUACAGCUAAAGUUGUUUGUUAAUUCAAGCUUUAUUUUAGUGUCUGGAGAUCAGAAUAAAUCAUUUUGUAAAUGUUCUGAUGCUUCACAUUUGUAGGUCAACUAUGUUUGUUUGUUCAUUGUCUUUCAGGAGGUGCCUGUUUUCACUGCACAUAGAUAUGCCUUGAGAAUGAGUUUUUAAUGAACACAUUUUUUAUUUUGGCCACCUGUUUCUGUUUAAAAUAAAUGCAGUAUAACAAAAUCCACUGAGUGUAGCAAAAUUUCAGAUUCCAGUUGAACUUAGUUAAAUUUCUACCCCUUGUCUACAGAAGUUUUGAAUGUCUUUCUCACAUGCCAAGGGUUACCAAAAAUUUCAGCCUUCUUAACAGAGCUUUGUAGAAAUAGUUGGGCCCCAAGUUUCUUUAACAUGUUGGAGCAGGCACUCUUCCAAGGGACUAGAAGUUAAUGACUUUAGCUGAAGCUGAAACUUGCCUUCAGGUCUCCCUCCCUGAUCUGUGACUAGAGCAAUUAGAGUUAAAUAAGAUUGGUAUAUUGAUGGCUAUAACAUGAAAAACUGGUACUUGUAUCAAUUGCAACUAAAGAAAAGAGCAGAAGGCGCCUCCUGAUUAUUCACCCUAGGUAAUGAUGAAACAGAACUGUAUUUUUUAUUAGAUUUUGUGAGUUUUGAUUUAAACAUAAUGUAACCUUAAAAGUUUUAGCUUUUCCUAGUUUUCAGGUAUUUUAUUUGUAUAUUUGAAUUGUCAUUAAAAAUAAUUUUUAGUCCCCAAAGCAAUAUGAAGUAUAUGAUGAAGUCAUAUGUCAGGCAGGCAUAUGAUCACUAUUCUCAAGAACCUAUGAUUGGGUAAACAUUAAAGAUAUAUUUUCAAUACAUAUAUUUUUUAGAAAUAAUAAAAUAGCACAAGUCCUCAACUACAAAACACUCUUGAAUAUCACUGGGAAUUAUUUAGGCAAUACAUUCACCUCAACCUGGUGGUAUUUUGUCUGUUAUGAUUAGGUUGCAAUUUUUAGACCUAAUCGUUAAAGAUAAGAUGGUAGAAGAGCACAUUGUAAAAGUGGGGAGCUGAGCUCUGAUGCUUUUCAGAUAGCAUCAGAAAAAUAAAAAGUAAAAAGAUGAGAAUAAAAUUUGAAAAAUAUUUGUGAGACUAAAAUAAUGAUUGCAAUAAAAAUGCAGGAAUAAAAUAUAGACUGUGUUCCUGUAAACUGGCAAACCUCCUUGGCUGAGCUCCAGGUAAUGUCCUUUCUGUGUGAGCAUUUGUUGUUUAGGAAGAUGCAAUAUGCACAUUGAGAUGUCAGCAAAACGAGACCCUCUGGAAUCUGUUGACAGCAAUUCAACUCUAACUCUGAGAGCACGUAUGCGAUCUCAUAUUACUCAUCUGGAAGGCUUCUUUUUUUCAUACUCAGGAUGUUUUCUCCAUUUUUAUUUUUAAUUUAUUUCUUACUACAGAGAAUUUGUAUUGACUAGUUCUUUUCCUCCCUUCUCCUUUUGUUUUUAAUGUUUAUUUCUUUUGAGCAUGGCUCUCUGCUCUAUUACUUACUCAACUUUAUAAAUCAGAUUCUUCUCUGAUCUGACUUAAAUCUCAUAUGAAUAUCCUGAUUAUUCUUAUACCAUCCUUUAUCAGCAGAAGUGAUGACUGCCUUCUACAACAACACAGAGGAUGUUUUGUUGCAAAGUUACACUUAGAAUUCACACAUAUUAUAAGAAACAUAAAAAGAAAGCAUUGAUCUUUAUUGGAAUUUGUACAGAGUAGAAAUACAUUUAUAUAUAUUUCAACUACUAAUUUUUCUCUGGGAUCCCAGAAAAUAAUGCAGUUUUAGGUUUCAAGACUUGAAAAAUGGUGUGAGAUUUUCCACAGUUGAAGAAGUAAUAUAACAAAAUGCUGAGAACAUAGACUUUGGAGAGAGACAUCUUUAAGUUCAAGUCACUUCUCAUGGUACUUAUUAGCCAUCUUCAGAUUUCCUUAAACUCCUUGAGACUCUGUUCCCUCAUCUGUAAAAUAGGGAUUGUAGUGUAUACAUCACAGGAUUACCAUGAACAUUAAGUGGAAUCAUGUGUGAUUAGCAGAGGAAAACAUCAACAGUGGAAGAUGACUAUUAUAGAGUGGAGGGAAAUUUUAUCAAAUGACAAUAAGAGCUCUUCCCAUUAUAUCAUACAUUCCAGUCAUACAUUUAGGUAAAGUAAGUGAGCCAGAGAUGUGGAAAAAUUAUUAGAAAGGAAGCCCCAUCAACGACCUGGUCCUGACAAUGGAGAACAGUAGAGGGGAGCAUGCCGUUCAAAGGACAGGAGAAGAGGUUUACAGUGAAUGAGGGGCCCCGGUCUGGCUCUCCCUCAUUUGAAAGAAAACGAAAGCAUCAGUUUAAACAAAGGCACCAGAAUGUCUUAUACCUGCGUGGCAGCAUUCUAGGCAAAGGUGAUGCAGUAUGUACAAAAGAGACAAAAUUUCCUUAUUUCUUAGAGUUUAUAAAUGGGUGGGAAAGACAGGCAAUAGAAUAAAAAAAAUCCCAGGUAAUAGAUUUUUAAAUGCAGGUAAUUUAUAACAUAUAAUAGAAAGGGAAUAAGUGUUCUAGAGAAAAAUCAACCAGAAAGUAAUUGAGAAUGUCGUGAGGAGCAAAGGGCUAUUUUAACCCGGAUGAGCAGGCUUCAUUGUUCAUGAUUUCAAAGAGGUAGGGAGCCAGCAGAUAUCUGGGACUGGAAUGUUCCAAACAGAGGGAAGAGCAAGGGUAAAUGCAUUUAGGCAGGAAGAAAGAUGAUAUUCCCCCAAGAACAGCACAAAAGGUACUAUGGGGAGUGGACUGAGGAGUGGGGAAGAACAGCGCUCUCGAAGAACUGGGGGACGUUGCAGGCCAUUGUAAGGACUUCUGCUUUCACUUAGCUUGAGUUGGUAAGCCAGAGGAGAGGCCUAGGAAGAUUUACUUGAGAGCAACAUUCACUCUGGCUUCUAUGUCGCAAGUUCUCAGUGAUGGGUAAAGGAGAUUAGGAAGAUAGUUUGUUUUACAGCUUAACAUGUGAAAUGGUAGAAUAAAUGGUAAGAAGAAUAACAUUUGAGAGGCCGAGGCGGGUGGAUCACGAGGUCGAGAGAUCGAGACCAUCCUGGUCAACAUGGUGAAACCCCGUCUCUACUAAAAAUACAAAAAAUUAGCUGGGCAUGGUGGCACGUGCCUGUUAUCCCAGCUCCUCAGGAGGCUGAGGCGGGAGAAUUGCCUGAACCCAGGAGGCGGAGGUUGCGGUGAGCCGAGAUCGCGCCAUUGCACUCCAGCCUGGGUAACAAGAGGGAAACUCUGUCUCAAAAAAAAAAAAAAAAAAAUAA